rnacentral:rRNA from 1 species
GACGAACGCUGGCGGCGUGCUUAACACAUGCAAGUCGAACGGAAAGGCCCUGCUUUUGUGGCGUGCUCGAGUGGCGAACGGGUGUGUAACACGUGAGUAACCUGCCCUUAACUUUGGGAUAACUUCAGGAAACUGGGGCUAAUACCGGAUAGGAGCUCCUGCUGCAUGUGGUGGGUUGGAAAGUUUCGGCGGUUGUGGAUGGACUCGCGGCUUAUCAGCUUGUUGGUGGGGUAGUGGCUUACCAAGGCUUUGAAGGGUAGCCGGCCUGAGAGGGUGACCGGCCACAUUGGGACUGAGAUACGGACCAGACUCCUACGGGAGGCAGCAGUCGGGAAUAUUGCACAAUGGGCGGAAGUCUGAUGCAGCAACGCCGCGUGCGGGAUGACGUCCUUCGGGUUGUAAACCGCUUUCGCCUGUGACGAAGCGUGAGUGACGGUAAUGGGUAAAGAAGCACCGGCUAACUACGUG